CCAGUAGCCGCUGCUGUUUGAGGUGGCUGUCGGGCUGCCGCCAAGCCGGUUCAGAGACCGCCGCUGUUUCGGUUUAGCCGUUCCUUCUUCGUUCGAGUGGUUGUGGUUGCUGAGAAAGCAGGUUGGAACUGAGGUUUUGACUGCAGUCGAUUCGGGUCAAUACGAAAGGAGUCAGUUAGCGAGUUUGGGUUGUGAUUUCAACGUAUCGAGGUAGGGGCUUUUUAUACAAACUGAUUCAUUUUAAAGUGGAAGUUGUUAUAAAUAGAUAUGUUGUACAAAAUGUAUUUCUGGUGGUUAUGUGAGUCUUAUGAAUUGUCU